AUUGAACGCUGGCGGCAGGCUUAACACAUGCAAGUCGAACGAGUGGCGGACGGGUGAGUAAUGUAUGGGGAUCUGCCUGAUGGCGGGGGAUAACUACUGGUAACGGUAGCUAAUACCGCAUACCAUCAGAUGAACCCAUAUGGGAUUAGCGUGUAGGUGAGGUAACGGCUCACCUAGGCGACGAUCCCUAGCUGGUCUGGGAGUAUGAUCAGGCACACUGGGACUGAGACACGGCCCAGAAUCCUCCGGGAGGGAGCAGUGGGGAAGAUGGCACAAUGGGCGCAAUCCUGAUACAGCCAUGCCGCGUGUAUGAAGAAGGCCUUAGGGUUGUAAAGUACUUUCAGCUGGGAGGCGUUACCCUCAGAAGAAGCACCGGCUAACUCCGUGCCAGCAGCCGCGGUAAUAC
rnacentral:rRNA from 1 species